rnacentral:rRNA from 1 species
GAUGAACGCUAGCUACAGGCUUAACACAUGCAAGUCGAGGGGCAGCGGGAUUGAAGUGUGCUUCAAUUGCCGGCGACCGGCGCACGGGUGAGUAACGCGUAUCCAACCUUCCGUACACUCAGGGAUAGCCUUUCGAAAGAAAGAUUAAUACCUGAUGGUAUGAUGAGAUUGCAUGAUAUCAUCAUUAAAGAUUUAUCGGUGUACGAUGGGGAUGCGUUCCAUUAGGUAGUAGGCGGGGUAACGGCCCACCUAGCCAACGAUGGCUAGGGGUUCUGAGGGGGAGGGCCCUCACAGUGGAACCGAGACACGGUCCAAACACAUACGGGCGGCAGCAGUGAGGAAUAUUGGUGAAUGGACGAGAGUCUGAACCAGCCAAGUAGCGUGAAGGAUGAAGGUCCUACGGAUUGUAAACUUCUUUUAUAAGGGAAUAAACCCUCCCACGUGUGGGAGCUUGUAUGUACCUUAUGAAUAAGCACCGGCUAACUACGUG